CCUACGGGAGGCAGCAGUGGGGAAUAUUGGGCAAUGGGCGCAAGCCUGACCCAGCAAUGCCGCGUGAAGGCAGCAGGCUUUCGGGUUGUAAACUUCUUUGACAGGGGAAGAGCAGAAGACGGUACCCUGAAAACAAGCCACGGCUAACUACGUGCCAGCAGCCGCGGUAAUACGUAGGUGGCAAGCGUUGUCCGGAUUUACUGGGUGUAAAGGGCGUGUAGCCGGGAAGGCAAGUCAGAUGUGAAAUCUGGAGGCUCAACCUCCAAAGUGCAUUUGAAACUGUUUUUCUUGAGUACUGGAGAGGCAGACGGAAUUCCUUGUGUAGCGGUGAAAUGCGUAGAUAUAAGGAGGAACACCAGUGGCGAAGGCGGUCUGCUGGACAGCAACUGACGGUGAGGCGCGAAAGCGUGGGGAGCAAACAGGAUUAGAUACCCUAGUAGUC
rnacentral:rRNA from 1 species